rnacentral:lncRNA from 1 species
UUAACAUUAAUCCAAAUGGAAGUGUGUCAAAUGGAAGUCUAUUCAAGUUGACAUUUAAGUGACAACGUAACAGAAGAUAGAUUUCAGAACUCCUAGUACUCAGCAGCAGUUGAGGCCAUAUAAAUCCAUGGGAAAAUGGCAUCACUAAUAAGCAAUAUUAAUGGGACAGAGCCGCUGCUCGUCGACCCGGCCGGCGUAAACUUCAAAUGUUCAUGUGUCAACAAGUUCACUCAUGAAACUAAAUAUUUGUCACGGAUCUGAAAAUAGCAGCCAACACUUGCUUGACACAUAAACUUCAAUUGGCAUGAAAAAUACCUAACUCUGAACUAGAUCAACUGAAUAGGUGUAGUUAAGUGGUAGUUGAGCUGCGGAAUGGAAAUAAUGAAAAAAUCAUAGGAGUGGAAGUAGAGAAACAACCCCUGGUUGAUCACGGAGCAGCUCCAUCACGGCCAUCGUGGCCGCCCGCCCUCUCAAGCUCUAUUUUGCGCCAUGCAGCAGUGCCACCAAGACCUGCAUCCUAAAAAACAUAGAUCAUAAUCAGGGAAAUUAGAAUGUUAAGUUAUCAAAAUAAAAAAAGAGGGAAUAACAUCAACAAGAUUUAGAUAGAGCAGUAGACAGCAAUCCCCACUUGUUGGGGGAACUAUUGCUGAGGGCGACCUAGAUAUGGAGGUAGGGAGCAGGGGAGUUGAAUAAGAAAUGUGUGUGUCAUUGUGUUGGCAAGUGCUAGCUCGGUGUGUCUCCAGGUUGAGAGAGUGAGCAAACACGUACGUUAUCUUGGUACAAGUACUAAUAAGUGCAGAACUAAUAGUAGUAGUACUACUAUAAAUUGACUCACUCAUACAUGUGUUUAGUACACAAAUUGGUAUGUUUAAACUCUGUAUUAUUACUGUAGGACUGCCACACUGUAAAUGUAAUUUUCUUCUUAGAUUCAGAUUAAACUAAUUCUGGUAUAUAUAUUCACCGAGCUGCAAGAGACAGUAAGAACAGAAAAAGAAAUGCCUAGGGAGAAAACACUAAAAAAAAACAUGUCACGAUGUUAAUACAUUAACAGAAAAUAAACUGAUUACGUUUAUUCAUACUGAAUUAUAUUUUGAUAGAAAAUAAACUGAAUGAAUACUGAACACUUGGUUAUAUUGAUUUAAAGAACAGAGAUACACCAAACUAUUGGAAAAAUGUAAACUCAAUUAGAUUUGGUAGAGAACUAACUGAAAUAGUUAUUGAUAGAAGGUCGCAUCUGCAGCCGAUUGACGAACAUGUGCGGAUAUAUCUACUCGGUACCCUGCAGUGUACAAGAUGGAGAGAAAUCUCAAUGUUAAAAGAUUCAGAGACGAAGCACGGCACACACAACAUACUGGCUGUUGCACGCACACAC